rnacentral:rRNA from 1 species
UGCAGUCGACGAUGACCACUUCGGUGGGGAUUAGUGGCGAACGGGUGAGUAACACGUGGGCAAUCUGCCCUUCACUCUGGGACAAGCCCUGGAAACGGGGUCUAAUACCGGAUAUGASCCUCCUCCGCAUGGUGGCGGCUGGAAAGCUCCGGCGGUGAAGGAUGAGCCCGCGGCCUAUCAGCUUGUUGGUGAGGUAAUGGCUCACCAAGGCGACGACGGGUAGCCGGCCUGAGAGGGCGACCGGCCACACUGGGACUGAGACACGGCCCAGACUCCUACGGGAGGCAGCAGUGGGGAAUAUUGCACAAUGGGCGAAAGCCUGAUGCAGCGACGCCGCGUGAGGGAUGACGGCCUUCGGGUUGUAAACCUCUUUCAGCAGGGAAGAAGCGAAAGUGACGGUACCUGCUWKAAGAAGCGCCGGCUAACUACGUGCCAGCAGCCGCGGUAAUACGUAGGGCGCAAGCGUUGUCCGGAAUUAUUGGGCGUAAAGAGCUCGUAGGCGGCUUGUCACGUCGGUUGUG